rnacentral:rRNA from 1 species
UACAGAGGUCUCGAGCGUUGUUCGGAUUCACUGGGCGUAAAGGGUGCGUAGGUGGUCAGUUAAGUCUGAUGUGAAAUCUCUGGGCUCAACCCAGAAACUGCAUUGGAUACUAUCUGGCUAGAGGAGUGGAGGGGGGACUGGAAUACUUGGUGUAGCAGUGAAAUGCGUAGAUAUCAAGUGGAACACCAGUGGCGAAGGCGAGUCCCUGGACACUUCCUGACACUGAGGCACGAAAGCUAGGGGAGCAAACAGG